CCUACGGGGGGCUGCAGUGGGGAAUAUUGCACAAUGGGCGAAAGCCUGAUGCAGCAACGCCGCGUGCGGGAUGACGGCCUUCGGGUUGUAAACCGCUUUCACCAGGGGCGAAUGUAGACGGUACCUGGGGAAGAAGCACCGGCUAACUACGUGCCAGCAGCCGCGGUGAUACGUAGGGUGCGAGCGUUGUCCGGAUUUAUUGGGCGUAAAGGGCUCGUAGGCGGGCUGCUUUGCGCUUCGUGAAAUCCCUCGGCUUAACCGAGGAAUUGCGGGGCGAACGGGCGGUCUUGAGGCAGGUAGGGGCGCGGAGAACUCUUGGUGGAGCGGUGGAAUGCGUAGAUAUCAAGAGGAAUGCCGGAGGCGAAGGCGCUGCGCUGGGCCUGUCCUGACGCUGAGGUGCGAAAGCCAGGGGAGCAAACGGGAUUAGAUACCCCAGUAGUC
rnacentral:rRNA from 1 species